GAUGAAGAACGUAGCGAAAUGCGAUAAGUAGUGUGAAUUGCAGAAUUCAGUGAAUCAUCGAAUCUUUGAACGCACAUUGCGCCCUUUGGUAUUCCUUAGGGCAUGCCUGUUCGAGCGUCAUUUAAACCUUCAAGCUAAGCUUGGUGUUGGGUGACUGUCCGCUUCACGGCGGACUCGCCUCAAAGUUAUUGGCGGCCGGUACAUUGGCUUCGAGCGCAGCAGAAACGCGAACUCGGGCCCGUCGUAUUGGCUCCCAGAAGCUAUCUUCACAAUUUUGACCUCGGAUCAGGUAGGGAUACCCGCUGAACUUAAGCAUAUCAAUAAGCGGAGGA
rnacentral:misc_RNA from 1 species